rnacentral:snoRNA from 1 species
CUGCUUUUCCAGCCCUGUACUCCUCUGCCCCUGGAACCCGGUGGGCAGUGGCUGCAGACAGCAGCCUCCUCAGUAGUGUGUGCAGCCUGUUUGGGACCUUGGAGACAGCC